rnacentral:rRNA from 1 species
GUUCGGAUUGCAGCCUGCAACCCGGCUGCAUGAAGCCGGAAUCGCUAGUAAUCGCGGAUCAGAAUGCCGCGGUGAAUACGUUCCCGGGUCUUGUACACACCGCCCGUCACACCAUGGGAGUCGGGAAUGCCCGAAGUCGGUGGGCCAACGAAAGAGGCAGCCGCCGAAGGCAGGCCCGGUGACUGGGGUGAAGUCGUAACAAGGUAGC